rnacentral:rRNA from 1 species
UGGGGAAUUUUGGACAAUGGGCGCAAGCCUGAUCCAGCCAUGCCGCGUGUCUGAAGAAGGCCUUCGGGUUGUAAAGGACUUUUGUCAGGGAAGAAAAGGCUGUCGCUAAUACCGACAGUUGAUGACGGUACCUGAAGAAUAAGCACCGGCUAACUACGUGCCAGCAGCCGCGGUAAUACGCAGGGUGCAAGCGUUAAUCGGAAUUACUGGGCGUAAAGCGAGCGCAGACGGUUACUUAAGCAGGAUGUGAAAUCCCCGGGCUCAACCUGGGAACUGCGUUCUGAACUGGGUGACUAGAGUGUGUCAGAGGGAGGUAGAAUUCCACGUGUAGCAGUGAAAUGCGUAGAGAUGUGGAGGAAUACCGAUGGCGAAGGCAGCCUCCUGGGAUAACACUGACGUUCAUGCUCGAAAGCGUGGGUAGCAAACAGGAUUAGAUACCCUGGUAGUCCACGCCCUAAACGAUGUCAAUUAGCUGUUGGGCAACUUGAUUGCUUAGUAGCGUAGCUNACGCGUGAAAUUGACCGCCUGGGGAGUACGGUCGCAANANUA